GAGAGAAAAUAAUGAGACAAUUUACUGUUUUGGGGGGUGGCAUGCAGACUAUGAGGGGUGGCAACACCAAAGCAAGCGCCCAUGCGUAGUUCUUAUGGAUCAAGAUACCAAGCUUCAUUGCAACAAAACCAGCAAUCUGGACUAAAUGUCACCACCUUAUGCAGGCCAAUUUGCCACCCUAUGUCACCCCGGUAGAUCCACCCCUGCCUCACUGAGAUCAAGGUCCACAAUUGCAGGAGUGUCUUGAUGGGAGAGCAAGAACGAGAGGCAAUCGAGAGGUUCCAGGGUUCCAGCUGCUUGGGGUGUCAGGGAGACGUCUCUGACCGCUGCCCCACCACCAGGAGAUGUUCUGGGAUUAAUGGGGCGAUUCAUCCGUGAUAGGUGGCUCACAGCUGAUGACCUUGUAGCUGGACAACCGAAGGCACCGGUGGAGGUGUGGCAGGCAGUAAUGCCCAGCAGUCACAAGGAUUCGUCCAUGUCUCCAUCUCUUCAUAUCUGGUAGGAAGGUCUGUGUGGUGCGAAAGGUUCCCAGCAGGUUGACCUCCAGGAUACCACGAAUACUAUCCACUGAGUGAGCUUCCAGUGGACCAAUCAGACCUACACCUGCAUUACAAACUAACACAGAGACGUGGGGGAGAUAAGUAUGAAUGGCUAAUUGUAUGUGGUAAAUAUGAAUUUUGGCAUGAAUAAAAAAAUUUCUUUAUUGAUGAGAUGCUCCCAUCUGGCCGUAGACUUAAAAUUCCUAUGGCCAGAAAAAAUGUAUAUAAAAAAUAAUUUGUUCCAAUGGCAGUGAUUAUUUUAAAUAGGACUAUUUUUUAAGUGGAGUCAUUAUUACUAUUUAAGGAUGAUUGGCGUCAUGUUAUUAUUCUAAACUUCUGAUGUUUGAUUCAUUUAUCAAAUGUUAUUUUGUGAUGCUUGGAAGUAUUUUUAAAAAUCUGUUGUUAGCUUAAUCUAUACACCUGUCUUAUAUGUGCACCUACGCUUGUAUGAAAUGUGUGGGUAUUGUGUGUGUGUAUACAGUAUGUAUGAUGUUUGUCAACUUUUUAGGCUAGUGUCAAAGACAAAUUUCCUUUCUAUGAGAAAUUGAAUGGAUAAUAAAGUUUAAACUAAACUAAACUAAACUAAACUAUUGGGCCCCUUCUUGGCCACUGACAAGCCAAUAAAACAGUGAAACCCACAGUUCUUGAAUUCUGUAUUAUGAUGUGUUGCUUAAAAUUACUUACCCAAAGAAUGCACUUUAUACUUAAGAGAAAGAGACAAAAUGCACUGAUGUCUUGAGUCAUGGUGACCAUCAUCUACUCUGUUAAUGGUAUCAGGACUUUUAAAGGAAUAUUCCAGGCUAAUACAAAUUAAGCAUGUGUGGCAAAAUGUUGAUUACCACAAAAAUUUAUUUUGACUUGCCCCUCCUUUUCUUUCAAAAAAGCACGAAACUGAGUUACAGUUAGGCACUUACAGUGGAAGUGAAUGGGGGCCAAUUCGUAAACAUUAAAUACUCACUGUUU